UCAGCGGACAGAUGACUACCAAGAAAAAAAAACAACACUUUCAUCAUCUGCCGAAGAAUCCUGCACACUGAUUGCAAGAGACCUUCCUACACAUCUGGGUGUACACUAAUGGAACAUGGUUUUAAAGAGUUUCCCGGAGUGCCUUCAAGCAAAUAUAUAACUUCAUUUGAACAGAAACUUGCUGAAUAAGUGCCCAGCGUUCCAGAAGGCAUUUACAGGAUAUCUUCGUGUCUUAACUACGCAGUGCGCCCCCUGGUGACACAUUUAUACAUCCGGGUGAUAUACUAGCUGACGGCUUUCUAUUUAAUUGCAUGCGGUUCAUUAGAGAUUGUGACAGAAAAGGAAAUGUUACAGUGAUAUGUGAUGCUGAAGUGUUUCUUCGUUUGACACCAGCUCGACAAAGUGGGCGAUCUACCUGCUAGCACGGGACCGCAGGUAGGAGAAGAUGAGCCGACAUCUAUGAAAUUCUAAAUUGCUCUGCAGCAAACCUCUGGUGACACAUACAGCGUCCAAAGACAGAUGAGUGAAAAGAUGGUUAGAUACUGCAGCCACGAGAAUCAAUGAAGCUUACGUUGCCAACGCUACAGAUAGUGGACCCAGCAUAAAGACGUAUUACAUCACAGCGUUAUAUUUUACGUUUACGUCACUGACGUCAAUAGGAUUCGGAGACGUGUCACCAAAUACUAAUGGAAUUGACAUGCAGGUAAAGAUGAUAUAUUUGGUGGUGCUUGCAGUGACGUGGAAUGCUCUGAAUAAUCGUUCUAUUUUGUACUUGCCCUUAGUUACUGUGAUAUUGACAAGAUAGAGUUACACGUGCUGAAAGAAACAAUGGAUAUAUAACCAGAAUUUUCAAAAAGAAUGAAUGGGUAAAAUACAAGUGACAUUCAAUCUUAAGAUGCUAAUAUGUGAUCUCUUCUGACAAAAGCUCGACGAAUGGGACCACAGAUAGGAGAAGAUGACCCGACGUCUAGGGCAUUCGAAUUUUCUCCGCUAUCAGCAAGUAGUGGUAUAGAUACGGCGUUCAAAGACAGAUCAGUGUAAAGUAUAGACUUUUUUACAAUCAUUUACAUUAAUCAAAGUCUUUCAUAAUAUUAAUGAUAUAUUUAAGCGUUGGUUACUUACAAAACGUCUGGAUUUUUCAACAUUUUCUCAGUCGAAACACUGU
rnacentral:lncRNA from 1 species